rnacentral:rRNA from 1 species
UGCAGUCGACGCACAGCGAAAGGUGCUUGCACCUUUCAAGUGAGUGGCGAACGGGUGAGUAACACGUGGACAACCUGCCUCAAGGCUGGGGAUAACAUUUGGAAACAGAUGCUAAUACCGAAUAAAACUCAGUGUCGCAUGACACAAAGUUAAAAGGCGCUUUGGCGUCACCUAGAGAUGGAUCCGCGGUGCAUUAGUUAGUUGGUGGGGUAAAGGCCUACCAAGACAAUGAUGCAUAGCCGAGUUGAGAGACUGAUCGGCCACAUUGGGACUGAGACACGGCCCAAACUCCUACGGGAGGCUGCAGUAGGGAAUCUUCCACAAUGGGCGAAAGCCUGAUGGAGCAACGCCGCGUGUGUGAUGAAGGCUUUCGGGUCGUAAAGCACUGUUGUAUGGGAAGAACAGCUAGAAUAGGGAAUGAUUUUAGUUUGACGGUACCAUACCAGAAAGGGACGGCUAAAUACGUGCCAGCAGCCGCGGUAAUACGUAUGUCCCGAGCGUUAUCCGGAUUUAUUGGGCGUAAAGCGAGCGCAGACGGUUAAUUAAGUCUGAUGUGAAAGCCCGGAGCUCAACUCCGGAAUGGCAUUGGAAACUGGUUAACUUGAGUGCAGUAGAGGUAAGUGGAACUCCAUGUGUAGCGGUGGAAUGCGUAGAUAUAUGGAAGAACACCAGUGGCGAAGGCGGCUUACUGGACUGUAACUGACGUUGAGGCUCGAAAGUGUG